UUUCCCUCAGGAUAGCUGGCGCUCAUUGGUAUAAUCAGUUUUAUCCGGUAAAGCGAAUGAUUAGAGGUACUGGGUUCGAAAUGGACUCAACCUAUUCUCAAACUUUAAAUGGGUGAGAUGCUCGACUCGCCUCGUGUGCGUGUGUGUAAUAACUGCGCGGAGUCGGGCGUUGAAUGUGCGAGUGCCAAGUGGGCCAUUUUUGGUAAGCAGAACUGGCGCUGUGGGAUGAAUCU
rnacentral:ncRNA from 1 species